ACUCCUACGGGAGGCAGCAGUGGGGAAUAUUGCGCAAUGGACGAAAGUCUGACGCAGCAACGCCGCGUGGGUGAAGAAGGCCUUCGGGUCGUAAAGCCCUGUCAGGUGGGAAGAAACCUGCGAAUAGCAGCUGACGGUACCACCAAAGGAAGCACCGGCUAACUCCGUGCCAGCAGCCGCGGUAAUACGGAGGGUGCAAGCGU
rnacentral:rRNA from 1 species